rnacentral:lncRNA from 1 species
UUUUUUUUUGUGGGUUCAAAUGUAAUCAAGACUAAGGUGCAACAUAGCCUCCAGGAUACGUCGGAAUGAAAUUCAGGGUACGUGAUACAGACGGCGAUAACUAAUGGAUCAUUAGCAUGAAAACCUUUAAUAAGCAAAGGACAUCGAUAAAAUUUGUGUCAUCAGCAAACAUCCCGUCAUUUCUAUGUAGCUCAGAGCGAAUGAGAAAGGAAAACACUACUCGCUCUUAUGUAAUCUUCAAACAUUUGUAAUUCGAAUUCUACUUCUUAAAUGAAAGGCAGUGCUCCUGCCAGUAAUGUUUUCAAAAAAAAAAAGAAAGAAAGGAAAACACUGUCGAGUUAAAAUCAAGGCUGGUGUUGACUACUGUGCUGUAGACUGAAAUGGGUGAAUGUGUGAUUACCAUCACCAAGGAAUUUCUUCCCCAUCCCAUGCGAAGAACUUGCCGUUGUCACUUUUCUUGACGUUGUCAAUGAUGGAGAGGAGCUUCUGCACGGAGAACUCUCUCGUGAAGAGCUUAUCCUUGGGGACAUUCUUCUGAAAUGGCCGUGAGAGGUCAGUGUCCACAGUUCCUGGAUGUAGCAGAAUGCAGGCAAUGUUGUCCUUCCUUCCAAACUCCACUGACACAGUCUUCGUCACUGCAUAAGACAUGAGCAACGAACUUCAGGAAGCAAAUCAUGACAGAUGGAUUUUAACAGCUGCACAAGCACUAGGUUACUCAAGACAGAUAGUGAUAAACUGAGAACAGGGGAACUUCUUGGUGUUCACAUACACUGAUUAAGCGCAGUUUUAGAAGCUCUGUAUGCAUGCCAGCCUCCUAGACCAUUGUCCCCUAUGGAACUGACUCUAGCGCUCAUGUUUGCAACCAAUGAGAAUCCUCUCCCGGUCUCGGAGCGACCACCAGCCUUCAGUAACGGCCACAUGUGCUGGCAAAAAAGAGGAUCGAUUCAGACUCCAGCAUUAGUAGUGUCGCAAUGACUGGCAAGCAGAAUGUUGAUACCACCACAAGAGACGGAAAGAAUUGAAAUGAAGCAAUGAGUUUCACCUUGAUCACUAAGAUAGGGCCGACUGCAUUGACCUCAUAGGCCAGCAGCAGAGAUGAUUUCUGAACUUUGCUCAAUGUAGUCUCUGUGACAGGGGACACAAGAAAUUCGGUUUCAGAUAAGUAACUAGGGAAUUGAUGCUUGCUGACUUCUCAAUGUUGUGUGAAACGUGAUCGAGGGAGAGAAUCCACCUGGUUGUAUCACGUUUGGGAUGGAAAGGAUGCCAGUGGAGUUGAUCAGCAGGUCAAGAGAACCGUGGGUCUCCCCAAUCGAGGCAGCGGCGGCCUGCAAUGGAAGAAUCAAAUUUUGCACAAUAGCCUGCGUUUUACUAGCACUACGAACAGCACAAUUAAGCAGAAUCAGUGGGCGAUGUGCCAGUAAACUUCAUCAGGUUGUGUUGAUGACAGAUAGAACUGUUUAUUCAGGAGCACUCCGCCUGACUACUCUAUGAACCAAACAAAUUUCCCCUGUCUGCAGCAAUGCCGAGAAGCACCAAUGUGUCUGUACCUACCUCUAUGGUGCCCUCGUCGGUGACGUCGAUCGGCAGGACGGUGAGGCGCCCCGGCGCGUGCUCCUCCUUGAGCUUCUGGAGCUCCGCGGCGGACCCCGGCGCGCGGCACGUGGCGACGACGCGGCCCUGGUCGCUUCUCCGCAGCAGCUGCCGCACCUGCACCAGCACCGGAUUUGCCAGCACCCAAGCGAAUCAAUCGGAGCGAAUCGCGGAUACGGAUGGGAAAGGGACGGGGGGGCGGAUGCGGGGAAGGCGCGAAAUGGGGACGGGCAUAGGCGCUAGGCGGAGGACUCACGAACUCGAGGCCGAUCCCCCGGGACGCGCCCUGCACCAUGGCCACGCCGCCGGCGCCGGCGCCGGCGGAGGCCGAGGCGGAGAAGGCCCUCGUGGCCACCGCCAGCCUCGCCAUCGCUCCUCCUCCUCCUCCUCCCCUCAUCGGCGGAUUCGGGCCCGACCCCGCUUCAAUGCAACAAGGAUUGGAGAGGUGGGUGGAGAGUUGGGUUGCGCAGUAAUGGUGGCGCCCGUGCUCGGGUCCGGGAUUCUCACGGCUCAACGCCCGGACACGUAUUCCUUUCCUUCCUUCCCAUCUCUCCUCUCUCUCUCACACACACGCGCGCGCACUAGCAGAGCCUUGUGAGGCCCAUAGGAUGAUUGGGCCUGCGCGUGCGUACACACACUUGGCCCACCAUCUGCUUUGAGCCUUCUGAUUGUCCGUCCUGUUGUUGGCCCACCAUGUCACUGAACCUGGAGAAUUUUCGUCAAGUCUCAUGUCCCAGCCAAACAACUGCCCAACCAUCUCCACAAGAAAAUUACUUAGCAGGGGUCCACCAUGGGGCAGGGCGAUCCCCCGGAUUCCAUGAAGGUAGCAGGGGACAUUGGAAUGCUAUUUUUUCAUUCAGCGGUUUUCAUCUGGACAAUCCGUUUGCUGAUCACGAUUUUGGUCUGGGGGUUUCCGUGUGGCAGGGUUUUUGGAGGUACUUCUUCAGAAGCAUUUGGGUGCGCGGUGGCUACAAGGAUUGCAUAUAUUAUGCCGUGUUUGGGCUUGGGGAUUCAGGCUACCGGAAGUACAAUGUGACUAGUCUCUUCUAACCAAAACCUUACAAUUAAGCUGCUACUGUGCUAGUACGUGUGUUGCUUUUAAAUUAUACCUUCUUGUUUUUAAUUCCCUCUCCACUGUUGUGUUUGCAAUGUAGUUUCCUGCAAAGAAGCUCGAUCAGAGGCUUUUAGAUCUUGGUGCAAAGCGAAUCAUAGAGAAAGGUUUAGGGGACGAUCAGAAUCCUGCAGGGUAUGAUUUUGAUAUCUACCAUUUUUUCCACUUGAUAUUGUUUCUAUGUUCACAAGUAAGCUUUGGAGAAGUCACAUGUCAUAUAUUUUUUUUACUGAAAUUUUAAGAUUUUUUUCUUUGGGUUGGAGAGCAAUUCAUCAAAGAUAUAUACUAAGAUAAUUUUGUUUUUUUAUACCAGAUAUGAAGGAGCUCUAGAUCCAUGGUUGCAGUCUUUGUGAAAAUCACUGAAUGAAACAAAUCCGUCACUGUUACCUAGAAUAUCAGAUAUCAUUCAUCCCAAUUUGGAUGCUUUGGGGAUGCAAAGGUCGAAGUCAUCUGUUACUCAGCUCCCUGACAUUUCAGGUAUGAGGUCUCAAUCUUGAUAAUAUUCACCUGCAAUCUGUAAACUGUCGAGUAACAUUUCUUCCCAAAGAUUCUAACAUUUCUAUUACCAGACUCCAAGAGAUUAAUUGAGAGAGCACGCUCUAUGUCCCCUGCUCUGAAGUUCCAUAAUGAUGGAGAGCCACAAUACAUGUUACAAUUAGUAUCUUCUGUAUCCUCUCCAUGAGCUUAAACAGUUUAGGUAUUUUUAUUUUAUUCUUAUUACUCAUUUAUAGAUGAAGUCAAUCUAGCAAUUCUAGACGCGGAUAUACAUUGGUUGGGGAAUCUUCUGCACCUACAUAUUAUUUUUUGAUAAAGGCACCUAGUUAUAAAUAUUUCUGUGUAUAUUUCUGUAUGUAUUAGGUUGCUGAAUUAUUGCUCCUCAGAAAAUUUCAUCUCCUGCACACAUCCAUCAGUGGUUGAAAGUGUCUAAGGACUGGAUUUUGAUCUAUAUAAAAUGAAAAAUAGCAAAAAAGAACUAAAUAAUUGCAACUGAGUGAAAAUACUGAAGAAUAGUUUGAGGCUGUAGUAUAACAAACAACAGGACAAUCUAUUGUUCAUUCUCUACUUGUGUUGUGACUAAGAUAAAUUGAUGGUGCAACAGGUGUGUGGUAAUUUAGUAUAUCCAUCUUUAUUUUAUCGACGUCUGUUGUUGAUGACAUUGCUAACCUUUUUAGGUAACAAAUCAACGUUUGACAAAGGAGGACUCUGAAACAGAUGUCCGCCACUUUGAAUUGAAAGAUACAUGUUCUGUAUGUUCUUUGUUUUCUUUUGGCCAGAUGGUAUUGGUUUGCUUCUUGUGAACAAGAUUGAAAGAUUGUUGUUUGUGCCAUGAUAGGCCAUCAGAUACCAAGUUCGUGAUGUUCUAGAAAUUCUACCAAGUCAGAAUCCAGCAGCUGUUGUUUCUUUCAUUAAACGAUGCAAUUUGGAUCUAGAUUGUUACAUAAUGGUAUGUAUAUCUGUUCAAUCUUGCAGAUUUAGCUUUUGAUAUCUUUGUGUGCACAAGCACUUUUCUUUGCACCCUUCUUCCUCUUAUAUCUGAUGAACCGGCACGAUCCUCACAGAAAUCGGCAUUACUUUUGUAACGGCUAGCAUCACAAUUUGGACAAUUUUCCAAUGCUACGUACUCACCGCGGUACAAUAUACAGUGGUUCAUGCACGCGUGUAUUCUUUGCACACGUAUCUUCAAUGGAUUGAUAAUCUUCUUUGCUUUGUAUGUGUUUUUUAGCACAAAUUUAUGUGUUGGGAGCAACUUGCCCAGCAGAGUAAGGAGAUCAUUGAAACUAUUGUCUGACCAGCCGAAUUUAGCCUUCAUCAGGAUCAGAAGAUGAAGGACAAAACGCAACACUAUCCACUCCUCCCCACAUCCCUCAUACAUACGGUCCUUUGCUGCCUUCUUAAGUGUGUCGAAAUUCUCUAACCCUUUAGCACUCCCUAGCAACAUGUCUGGUUCAAUGUGGCACAAUAUGUCCUCCAUAUCAAUAUCACGUUCCUCGUCCACCUGUAGUUCCACACGCGCAUAUGUUUGAUCACCAUUUUGAUCUCCACGGUCAUAAUCAUCAUCCAUCAUAACAUGAUCAUUUUCGUUUGCAUCAUCACCACCCACUUCAUCAGAGCCAGUAUCGAUGUCUAUGUUGUUGAAAGUACCUCUUGCCUCACCAUGGUGGGACCAAAUUGUGUAUCUAUCCUCAAAAUCUUGCUUUAUCAAAUGUCUCUUGAUGACAUCAGUAUUCUCCCAUACAGUAUUGUUGCUACAAUCAAAACACGGACAACGUAUUUGCUUUAUCUUGCAAAUGUGAGCGUGCUUCUUCGCAGCCUCCACAAACUUUGAUACAUCUGACAUGAAUGUAUGCGAAUGUCUCCGUAUACCAUAGAGCAUGCCAUGCUCUAUGAUCCAUCUUUAACAACCUAUGACAACAAUUCUAUAUUAUAUUAACUAAUUUAAUGAGCAACCUGUAUGAGUGAUAUGGCUGAAGCUUGCAAGGACGCUUGCAAGCAAAUGAAAAUCAUGGCACAGCCAUGUCUCCACUCCCCUGCAAGGUGUUCGACAGAAAAUGGUAACACCCACAUCUUAUGAUAUUGUAUGUUUCAUACCAGAACCAAGGAAUUGGUCAUCUUCUUCGAGUAGGAUAUGAUGAUAGUAUACUAAUCGGAUGGUCAUUUUUUCCAAAUUUUUUAGACCAAAGGCCCUUGGCCCUGCUUAUAUUGAAAGCAAAGCAACCGUCUUGCUGGGGAUACCAGCUUUACAAGAAUAUAGCCCUAUUACAUUUCAAGCGAAUCAUCAUCAGAAUUACUUCCUACCACAUAAAAGUGAAAACUAAGCAACGCUUACAGAAGCUAGGGAACAAAUCCCAGGGACUUGAUUAGCCACCGCUAUUCAAUCUCACUUCUAGCAACAGGUCACUGAAACAAAAGAAAAACAUCCUCUUGUUUGCCUCCAGCUCCCACCCGCUGUCUCCUGGUUAAUGUCUUCAGAAGAUCACCUCACCAUCAGCGAUGGUCAGAUUCCCUCCAACCCUUGUAUUAGCUUCUGCAACAAAUCUUCCCGCUUUGCUUGCCCCUCCACGGAUGCCAUCCUGCUCCAAUGCUGCAGAAAACCAAUGGAUUUAUAAGCCAGAGCUUUGGGGUUAGUCAAAAGGAUAUUGGAGAAGACCCAAUCAUUCCUAGUGCGCCAUAUCGCCCAGCUCACACCCGCCAGAAGAAAAAGCAUCAAGUUAUCUCCACUCCCACCCCCAAGGACCCAUUUAGCCUAUGCUCUGCGAAAUCACUAAGGUCAACAGGGAUAAAGUCACAUCCUAGGCUAUCUCUGACCCAACACCAUAUAAAGGACGCCAAGGGGCAUCAGAAAAUGAGGUGAUCAGCAUCCUCUUUUUCCUUGCAAAGUUUGCAUUCCUCCGGACCGUCCCAGUUUCUUCUUGAUGUAGGGCUUGAAACAUCAUGUAUCAAAAUGGCAUUUGGAGGCUUUCAGCUGGUAGAUGUUCUUGCUCAUGUCAGUUCCAUGAUAAAUAGAAUGCUUGCAACCCCUACUAUUUAGUAUUAUGUUAUAGAUUCUGGAUUCACAUUUUGAUCAUUGCCUGCUUAAAGUUCUACUGGAAUAGGGUUUUGUUAGCCAGUCGUACUAAUUGGAGCUUCUGAUAUGGAUGUAGCUGGUAUCUCUAAUGCCUUUUCGCAAGCAAAUUGGUGCAUAUAUGUAAAGAUUUGAGCCUGCGACUAAUGACAAACAUCCACUAAACCUUUUGAGCUUCCUCGCAAUAAAAUUUGUAAUUGAUCUUACUCUUACUUUAUAUUGUACUACUAGAAAUAGCUAGGGUUAAAAAAACUUGAUCUGAUUUCGGAAAUGGUGCCUUCUUAUGGGAACAGCUAACAUAAGAUAUGAUGAGUUUUGCUUUGAUGGCCUUGCAUAAGCAUGCUAGCUUAAUUACUCAUAGAUCUUAAUUCUCCAUUGUGAGCUCUGCAAUAUGAAGUGAUUGUUUGAUGCAAUAGGACCUUAUCCCUUAACUAUCUACUAUGCUUGUUCCAGUAUUCAAGUUAACUUUCUUGCAAUUUUCUAUUCUGUAUUUGCGAUGCCUGUGAUUCUGAUACUACAGUAGCACGUUCUCAACAUUCUUCUGUGUUCAUCAAUUCUGUCUGGCUCACUACCGGAAACUGGGUGUUUGCCGAGCGCUAAAAUGUUUGCCGAGUACAUUCUAUCAGGCACUCGGCAAAGAAGAUAUUUGCCGAGUGCUAACAGAAAAUACUCGACAAAAUAUUUACACUCGGCAAAAAAAGAAAAAAACACUCGGCAAACGAGAAAAAAAAAACACUCAGCGAGGCACUCGGCAAAGAACCGCCACGUGGACAUCCGUUAGUACGUUUGCCGAGUGUCCAUGAGUGGAAGCACUCGGCAAACAAAUACACUCGGCAAAAAGAGGGAAAAAACACUCGGCAAAGUUUGGCACUCGGCAAAAGAGAAAAAAAACACUCGGCAAAGGGAGGCGCUCGACAAAGAACGUGCCAUGUGUCCAUCCGUUAAUAUGUUUGCCGAGUGUAUAUCUGUGGCACUCGGCAAAUAAUUUUAUUUUUUUCUUUUGUAACCUUGAAACUUUUUCUACUCUCAACAUACAACAUGUGGUAUUCCAUGUUAAAAUUUGGUAUAUCUCUGGAUCUAUUUGCUAUAUUUAAUUAAUUUAUUGUAUUUCUAGGAAUUUUUUGGUAUAAGUCAAAUUUGAACUGUAAGUGAUUCAAAUAAUAGAAUAAAAUAAGUAGAAAAAUGAUAUUCAUGUUAUUUAGUCCAGUGUUAGGCCUUACCUGGGUGAAAAGAAAUUUCAAACAUCUUGUUUGGAAAACACGACCACGAACGUGUGGCCGAUUUGUUUUUAAAUUCUUAAAAAAAGCAAACAAAGUCUGUCUUUGCGUCGUCAUGUUGCUUUUUUUUGCCAAGCGUCGAUUUUAGCACUCGGCGAAGUCUUUGCCGAGUGCCCAAUAAAAAACACUUGGGAAAGAAACCUUUGCCAGCACUGUGGAUGCCAUGUGCUGUUUGCCGAGUGUAACACUCGGCAAAACCUUUGCCAAGUAUUUUUUGGACUUCGCUGUGUGCCGUGGACACACGGCAAAGCUACUGUUGCUGGUAGUGGCUGCUAGGAAUUUCACCUUGUUCCCUACUGUCAUGCAAUAGCAGAGUGCUGCAGCACCCGUUCAACGCAUGGAAGUUAAGAUUGAAUCUAUGCACGUCGGCUAUUUAUUUGACUUUUUCUUGCUCCUAUAGCAACAUUUUAAUUAUUAUCAUAUCAACAUAUAGCCCGUGCACGCGCGGGUAUUUUCUUGUACAGACAUGUGGCAUUUUUUUGACCUCGAACACUUGUUGAUUUGCCACACAUUUGUUUGUGUAGACCAACUUGCCUGAAUUUGAGGACCAGAGAAAAUUGUUAAUCGACGCUAUGUGAUUUUGAAUGGUUGCAUGAUAGCCUUGCUGAGAGGUAGAAAGGCAUUUUUAUGCCUCCCCUUCCAGAGAAGAAUGCUAUUGGUAAGAUCCCAAAUUAUUUUUUCAUUUAAUCUCUUUCGGACAGGAAAUCUCUGGGUGGCUGAACAAUUGUGCUAAUAAUCUGUGGACAGAGAAAUUCAGGUUUAGCAAGGAGUUCAUUGAAUUGUGGCACCAAGCUUUGGACUUAUUCACUAACAGGAUAGCUUCAUAGCUUCACACCCUGAACUCAAGCAAAGUAAAGUCUUGAGGGUAUUUUUGCAGGCAGAUGAAGAGGUAAAAUAUUUCAACUGUUACGAUUAGCCUGUGUUUUAGUUAAGCUUCUUUUUUGAAAUCAAAGUAUUGUACUUUCUAGAGAAAUGUGUAUGAUCAGUCUUCGGAAUGAAACGCACGUCCUUAGCGUAGCUGCCAGCAGCCACACAAUUCAUGUCUACUGAAAGCAGACGAAUUGCUCGGUAGUAACAGUAAGUGUGCUUGCACUCAAAUCAUUUCGGAGAAUUAUUUUUUAAGAAAGUGUGUGUUGAAAAUAUAAUGCUCAUUAAAAUAUACUUCUAGCUUGCCAUUAUGAGUUUUUCUGAUUUUCGCACUGUUUAUACAGAGCUGAAAAUUUAUGUCACCAACCAACAUUUUUCUUCUCACAUUCUUGCUAAACCGGGUGAUUGAAUUACCAUAAUUGGUUAGUGUUCGAUGAAAUUAGAAUGCAGGUACAUACACUUCUUGCAUGCCAGUAUGCCACUAUAAGAGUUUUUGAGUUUUUUCACACUUUGUUUGUGUAUGGUUGAAAAAUCAUGACAGUGACACCGACCAAUCCUUUUCUUUUCACAUGCUUGUUAAAUCAAGUGAUUGAAUUAUGAAAAAUUUGCAUCCUGGUGGAACAGGUAUUAUGCUUUUACUUCCAAGUUCUCAAGGUUGAAGUAGCACUUGCCCAGCCCAUCACUGUGCCGCCUGGCUCCCAUCGCCCUCCGGCAACAAGAUGACUGGCUUAGCGCGAGGGCCUAAUUGCAGUCCACAUGUUUUGCAUUUAUAGGCAAAAUGGUAGUUUCUUCCGGUUGAAUUUGUACUUUGACACAAUAAUAAUGUAUUGAGACGAAUUAAGUGGCUUUGCCACCUGUUAACGUGUGUUCUAUAAAGAGUACUCUUCUAAAAAUAUAAAAUCUAUGUUUAUUUUCUAAAACACGUGCACUCCUGAAUACAAGAGCGCGCGCAAAUGGAUUCAGUGGUUAAUGGAGUCACGCGUGAACCUUUACAGCAUUCCAUUUCAUAUCAAACGACCCCAAACAAUAUCAAAUAUCCACUAACAUUUUACUGAUGAUCGCCGCGCCGGAUCAUACACUUGAUAUGGGGAAUUGGCAACAUACACUUGACACCAUGCCACACUUUAAGAGGAAAAAAAUCCCCAUACAUCUGGUCAUGAGAAAUUAAAACCAAGUGAAAACUUAUCUAUAGCUGACAAACUUUGAUAGCUGCUGGUGGCUACCUCACAAAAAGAUCCAGCGCAGAUAACUCGACCGAAGCCUACAAUGCCCCAGUUUUUAAAUCGUAGCCGGACAAACUUUGGUAGCUGCUGGUGGCUACCUCACAAAAAUAUCCAGCAUAGAUGACCGAAGCCUACUAUUCCUACUAAUCACCCAGUUUUUAAACCGUAGCCUGACAAUCUUUGGCAGCUGCUGGUGGCUACCUCACAACAAUAUCCAGCACAGAUAACUCAACCGUAGCCUGACAAUCUUUUGUAGCUGCUGGUGACUACCUCAAAAAAAUAUCCAGCACAGAUAACUCAACCGUAGUCUGUCAAACUUUGAUGUUACAAAAGGCAUUACAAAGAAACAACAGAUAAUGCACAUGUUCGGUAGAAACAGGACCACUUUCCCAUUCAUGACGUCCCCCAAUCCUCAGCACUCGGCAGUUGCAAAGCGUGACUCAUCUUCAGGCGUACAAGCAACAGAGAUCCCUGCAAAAACAUAAAAACACCAGAUACUUAGGCUUCGGGGUAUGAAUGUUGCUUGAACCACAUCAGAGAAGGGUGAGUCAAGGGUAAGAUAGCAACGGAUUCAUCUCAAAACUAACAAGGAAAAAAGACUGAGGUAGAAGAAACGAGAAGACAUCUAUUGUCUUGACAUUCUAAUGCUACACUUUCUUGGAAACAAGAAACCAAUAAUAAAGGAAGUAAUUAUGGUAUUAACUACUAAAGUAAAGCAUAUUCUACUUAAUCAUUGAUUGGAUUUGGACCGUUGGUUCCUUGCAUCAAUAUAAGAUUUGUCAGAGUAUUUGUUUUCAAGGAGUAAUUUUGCUAUCUGAAGCCUUUAGUUUCAUUGAUAAAAAGAACAAGAAGUCCUUCAGUCUACAGGAUUGUUUACAAAUUAGUGAUUGGAUGUUUGACACUUCGCCUUAAUUGACAACCUCUCUUUUGAUACUUUUACAAGGGUAUAUCCGUGGAACUUCCAAGCUUCUAAAAUAUACUACAUGUUUUGGACUGAAGGCUUAAUUGUUCACUCAUUUAACCUAGGAACUCUAUCUGGAUCUACAUAUCCCUGCUUUUCAUCUAGGGUGGAGAACCUGAUCCUUGCUUUUGAUGUGCUAAGGAUCUAUUAUCUCUUUCUUCACUCCAAAGCAACAUCUUGGGUUCACUCCAAAGCAACAUCUUGGGAUGGAUUCUAACCAUUUCACUGAAAAUUGUGAGGUUUUGUAUUUACAUCCAUGACAGGUAUUUUAAAUUACUAGGUGUCUUAAAAUUGUAUGUAACUGCCUAAAUGAAUCCUUCCCGUUGCAAACAUGCAGAUUCCAUUUUGUACUUCAUUUUUACUUGUUUUUCCAUGUUCUAUUUUACAAGAUGUGCUCUGUACUACAUCUUAUCCCUAUACACAUGUAUUAUAAUUAUUAUUGUUCGAUAUGGACCACCCCAUCCUAUGAUUAGACACUACUAUUUUCAAUGCAGCAGUUCCAUCUAAAGGAACAUGAAAGAACGAAUUGUUGUUAUAGAGCUACUUAGAGAGUGCUCAAGAAAGAAGCAUGCGCGAACAAUAUAUAUUGCGGUACUCGAAGAUAUAGGAAGAUCAAGUCCAGCCUGCCAAUUAAAGACCACAAUCAGAAAAUGCAGAGGCAAACCUUAGAACCAAAGGGAUAUGUAGUUAAUUUAUCGAUUAUCUCAUACACCUUUGUCCAGAAAUCCAGUGUCCAUUUCUCAAUAUGUAAGAUUAGAGCCCUCUAAUGAUUGAGUAUAACCUAUAAAAGAAGAUGUUAAUGCUGCUAUACAUCUAUGGAAAGCGAAACUUGUAUUCUGUUAAUUAUCUUGAGCUCCUCAUGCAUAUCCUUAUAAUGCUUCUAGCAAUUCCUCAGGACUAUGACAUAGCUAAAAAAGUUGGACGUAUUUUGCUCCCUACGAUUCUUUGAUUUGUCCCAAUCAAGAAUCUUCUGAAGCAAACUUGGCAUGUUGUCAUAUAUGUGCGCCGAAUUCUCAUGGAAUGGUCAUGUUAAACCUGAACCCCUCAGCUUGCUCCUCAUUUAACUGUGAUCAAAGACCACAAGAGACAUUAAAUACUCUCCUUUCGUAGCAUCAUCCCAGUGCAGUUGCUUUUUUCAAGAAAUGUGUAAAACUUUUCCGUGGGAUGAUCUCUUGUAAUUUGGCACUGCUCUUCACACUAAGAAAUGAACUUACGGCAGGAGUCCUAAGUGAGCUUCUUAUGAACUACACCUAAACGUAGAACCUUGACAGCAACAAACCAAAAAGGUAUAACUCUUUUAAAAAGAAUGUAUUUUAAAUAAGUUAUUGUAAUCUCUCUACUCACUUGAGUCAAGAACACACAUGCGGAAAUGGUGCUGCAAGAUGCAACUUUUAGUUCAUCUUGUUCUCUUAUUUAUAGAUCAGUAAACAAAGGCCUUGGUGGCUGAACCUAAUGGUCAUCAUGGCACUAAAACUACAGGCACAUCCCGAGGAGAACAAACUAAGUGACCCUACUGACUCCACUUCCUAAAGACCAAGACUAGCUAACAAAAAUUGCCUAGUAUUAUGUAGUGUGCUCAGUUAAUAAGGUGUGCUAUCGUCAUUAUAAGGAAGAUAUCGAUUAUUAACUUGAGAAAAUGCUACCAGAGAUUAAUGCGCAGCAAGGCUAAUAUAUUUCUGGAGCAUUAAUUGAUAUGGGCCCAACCUAUUAUGGGAAGCGCUUUAGUUAAUGGCAAAUUUAAGGAUUUCUGGGCUUCAAGCAUUUUGCAUGAUUUACUACCGAACUCUUCAUGAGUUUUGCUGAACAAAAUCUGCACGGAGUAUCCUGUCUAGUUCCCCACACCAAAAUUUCUCCAAAGACAUCAAACAUACUGCUACUAUUUGGUGUGAUUCCAUCUCCUAAAAAUAACGAGCUAUGACACCACUACACUACAUGGUAACCUUGCCAUUUCCUCACAUAUGGCUCACAUGCCACUCUAUCCAUGGUAUGACUAGGAGGGAGGGGAGCACCUCUAUUUAUAGGUGCUCAUGAUCAUUGUGGUGUUGCCAUGUGGCAACUUCCACACUCUUCCAUACAAAAUAUUCUAACUCUAGAACCCUCCUCAUCCUUAUCUAGUUUCUUAUAUUUCUACCAUGCUAAAAUAUCUAGUUCUAGAGUAUUCUACACUUCACUAUGAAGCAUGACAACUAUGACUCAGCAUUCUCUCCAAUUUUUUAAAAUGUUCCAAGUAUGCAUUGCAUAUUUCAACACUCGAAAUUGUGGAAAAAAAGAUAUUAUACAGUGCGAGGUUUUCUUUCCCCCCUAUUGGUCCUAUGAGUUUUGGAUCUAGAAUAUAACUGCCGCAAUAUUAUUUUCAUGUUUGUUUUGUUUCGCAUAGUGGAUAUGUUGAUAAUAGUAUUGUGUAGCUGUGCUCUCCAUCGGAUGAUUUGUCAUUUUUUCAAGGAUCUUACACUGAGAUUCUUUCUUUUUUAAGAUGGGACAAGAAAAGAUUGCUGCUGUCACUGUACCGGAAUGAGAAGGUCGUGGAAAUACGUUACUGUGUACAUAUUCCAUCCCAUGAUGGGGAUUCUACUUUCUAGUAGUUGUGGAUGAGAUACCACUGGCCGAGAAUUUUGUAGCUAGUAGAAAAAUACGCUGCCACCAUAGAGAAAAACGAGAGGAAGACAAGCGCCAUCCAUGCAGCGAGAGCAUUCGUGCUGCCCUCAUCACGAUGUCGGUCCUCCUCUUAUCUGAUCUCCGAUCGGUUCAGAAGGGAAGCAACAGAACCUGUAGCUUGGCUGAAGCUUUUAAGCAUUCAGAAUUCAGAGGUUCAGAGCAACAACACGAAUUCCAGAAGAAGGCGCUGCUGCUCUGCUUUGUUUGCUCCACUGCCUUGUCCCGUAGAAAAUUAGAAAUCAAGAAGAGCUCUGAGACUGAGCAUCUGCAAGCUGAACAUAGACAAAUGCAACAAUGAACUGAACAAGUUGCACCAUCUGAGUCUCAGCAUCUUGCUUGCAAGUUGCAAGACGAGCACUUUCACUGGCUACCAUAAACGAUCCAACCCGAAAAAUCUACUUCCCUGGACAUACAACGGACAAACAUUUUUUUCCUAAGAUAAGAGAGCCACAUCCGAUUUUACAGAAAUCACACAACAUAGCUUCUGCAUUUCCACUGAAAAUACGAGCAGCAAGAUUAUUUGUUCUUGCAACAAGAGACCCAUCCCUCUGCAAGUCUGAAACGUCAUCCUAUCAAUCAGUUGGGCUGGGCACACAUGAAUUUGUUGAUCCAUAAAAUCCUCCCACACAAGAUGCAUCUACCAUUUGCACUACAGCUAGGCAGGCGAUGCUUUUGCUUGCUGCAGCGACGACAUAGUACCAGUGGUACGGUUUUCAGAGCUACCCCAAGCAAAUUGCCAUUUUCCUCUGUACAGCUUUGGACAAAAACAACUCGGUUGGCACCAAGUUUGUGUGCUGACUGCUGAUGUUCCAGCUAUGGAGCAUGAAGAUAGGUGUUCUGGUGUCCAGCAUUGCCUCCUAAGGAAUUAAACAUUUGUAACGGGUUUGUGUUAGCAGUGAUGCCAUUCUCUGACAUUGGCAGCACCGGUGACAACAUCUUGUCAUAUCUACGGAAUAGCGAGUUUUUAGGACAACAAUAAAAAUGACAAUCUGUAUAUAAAAAUUCUGCUAUGAAUGAGAAACGAAAGGACAAUCUCAAGGUAAUGCAAACUAAUUGUUCAUGCCAUGAACACUAACAGGAAGAGAUGAAGAGGUAGUCUGUAGCAGGUUAAUUGUUCAGGAAAGAAAAUGACAGAUGUUCAUCAUAAUUUUAGUUUCAUUAGCUGUGUCAAUCAUAAACUGAACAGUGAUUGAAAUAUGCCUUACAUAUUAAACUGGAACACAGUAUUUGAUUGUAUAAACUGAUAGGUAGGAAAACUUUGACAAGAACAACCACAAUGACUUGCAGUUUUCGUGAUAAAACUGGCCAGCAGAAAAGAAACCACUAGUCCACUAGAUAUAGUAGCUCUGCUAGAAGCCAACAUAAUCACAAUCACGAUGCUGGAAACUCCACUUUGCCAUGUCUUUUUUUUACCCUGAACCACAACAGGGAAAUGGCCGAUCUGAACAUUGUACUUCAAUAUGCAAAUGUGGCAUACAAGAUUUGCGAGAGGAGGUCAAACUCAGAAAAGGGGCAGGAAAGACACCUACAUUACGGACAAAGUUAAACCGUGAUCACUCCAAGCUCUAAGAGUGCCUCUAUAGGCGGGACAUUUAAUUUUUUACCAUGUUCACUUAACCCCUCACGCGUUCACUCCUCUCACAUAGUGGCAAAUCUGGUGCCACUCACCCCCCUAAUAGUGGCAAAAAAUUAGAUACAGACAGGACCAGAAGCACCGUGCAACCAGAGGGCGAUAUCUGCACUGCAGCACGCCAGCACACAUAGCCAGUGGAAGAUCAACAUCAUCGAAAACCUUGGCAUUCCGAGAUUUCCAAAAUGUUACAGCAAUAAAGCAGUAAUGACGGUAAGUCCAGAGGCCAUGGACAUCCUACAAAGGCAGGGUUUCCGUAGCACGUAAGGCGGCCCACUGGUGCAGACAGCAGGGUUUCCGUAUAAUGCUAGACCAACAGGUUUGCAUAAAUACUUUAGCAAUUCCACCAAUGCUUGGUCCUAAACAGGUCGAAUCUAACCAAAAUUAGGCAUGAUCUUCCAUCGCCAAAUAUUCAAUCUGCUCCAGCACACAAAUGUCUUUCCAACUGCCUAUGUGCUUAUCUCUACCUAACAUUGUAAUAUCAUAUUUGUAAUAUCAUCCGAUGGUGUCGCGCUCUACGGCGCGCGAUAGACUUUUCCUUCUGGUUUGGUUGGGGAGAUCAGGGAAAUCUGUCUAGAUGGGCUGAAAACAUCGGCUGCCCACGGCUCACCUCUGUUCACUCGAACAAGUCACAGGUGACGGGCACUGAUAGGAAGCCGAAUCCAAUCUACCGCCUUCCUCUAUUUUAUUGAAAUGUGUAUUUUUUUUACUAAAAAAAUUAGCCUAAAUCAUCACCAAAUAAAAAAUUAGCUGAAAUCAUCACCAAUUAAAGUUCAUCGUAGACGUAAAUGGAACUGAGUUAAGCUGUAAUAAAUUGAACCUAGUUUGAUGAACAAUCUAUUUAUAAUGGUCAUUCGACUUUUAUUACUUAGUGGAUUCAGAUUAUACCAAAAGAGCCGGAACUGAUAAAACAUAUGGCAUUGGGAAUAAAAUAUCAAAAAUUAGAAUUUAUAAAAGGGAUAGUUGAUAAUAGAAAAUAAUGGUCUUUGAAAAAACUUUACUGACAUCCUAAUAAAAGUCGUGUUGCAAAGUUCUUUCAAUUUGAUAUCUAUUUUCUAGCAAUUGGCAAUAUAUCAGGUCCAGCAGCGGAACCAAUGAGAGAGGCAAGUGAGCCAUCAAUUCAUGAGCCUUAACCUCGUAUGUCUACAAGAAAAUAACCGAGCCAUUUCCCACGUAUAAGCCUUGUAACCUAGGUCUGCAGGUGCAGCAUGACAAAAAGAUAAUACAUGAUCUGAUUCAAUCCAAGUGACAGAUAUUGGUCUUGAAUAUAAUUAGUUUUUUUUUGUCCAUGAAACACUAUGAAAAUGUGAUUUUGUCAACCCCUCACUAUGAAUCGGGUAGCGUGGGCGGCCGUGACCUCCAGCUGCCCAGCAGCGCCUGCUGCAUGAGGGCCAGCGGGCUAUGGCAACGCCUGCUGCUGGAGGACGGGGAUGGGAGGCAGCCGAUGCUGCCGGACUGCCGGAGGGCUCGUCGAGCAGAGGCCAACCGGCAGGUGCGGUUGCUGUUGGAGAGGGCAGCCGCAUGCUAGCUUCUGAGCGAGGCCACGGGCAGGUGCACGUGCACGUCGAGCAGAGGCCUUUUUUUCAACGGAGCUUCACUCGGAGCGUUUGGUUCCUCGAGCUAGUUCGUAUCACAUCGAAUAUUUGGAGGUUAAUUAGAAGGAUAAUUAUAAAACUAAUUGCACAGAUGGUGGUUAAACGGCGAGACGAAUCUAUUAAGCCUAAUUAAUCUAUCAAUAGCAAAUGUUUAAUGUAGCAGCACAUUGUCAAAUCAUGAACUAAUUAAGCUUAAUAGAUUCAUCUCGCCGUUUAGCCUCCAUCUGUGUAAUGGAUUUUGUAAUAGUCUACAUUUAAUGUAGCUGGAACCAAACGCCCCCGAGUUUCCUUGUGCAACGAGCAGAGGAUGAAAUGGGAAAACACAGCAAGGGGUUGAUGGGUGGGACCCACACCAAGGUCACUUUGGUCAUUUUAUCGGGCGCUCUCUCUUCCUAGGCUGGAGAAAUGUUUUUUUAACGGCAAUGGUGUGCUGUGCACAAAUACAAGUCUUGAGAGUGUCCAAGAGCCUAAAUUGAUGAGUGAGAGGUGCUCCACGCAAAACAACACUUUCAUAGUGUCCGGUGGACAAAAAAUCCAAUAUAAUAUUAUUCUGAAAUCUUGAUAUCGCCUAAAAUGUGGAAAAAAAAGAAAAUCCUGUUAUUAAACUGCCCAGUUCCUUAAUGUACUGAUUUUUAUACUUUGGCCAAGGUUGACCAAGGAAAAAAAACACACAAAAUCUAGUCUUCCUGUAAGAUUGACAAUAGAAGCAAAUGCAUUCCAAGAACCUCAAAAACAUUACCUUUCUCCAAGGACCUGCCUUUGAUGAAGUUUGCAUUGGAAGUGCAUAAAGGUAAGUAAUCAACAGCAACUGGAGACCAGACUGCAAGGGGUCACGACCGCAUAGGGGACGUCGUACAAGGCGUGCUAAGCCCACAACCGGCCAAGGAAGCAAGGCAAGAAAGUCUCCUCGGUGCAGGGUAGAUCACGUCAAGACACAACCCUCGACCUUGAGGUCAGGGCCCUCCUUUUUCUCAAGCAUUGUCGUCCAGGCCCUAACCUAUAUAAAGGGAACUGGGUCUCCUUUUCCUCUCUCUCUACACUUCACACUUUCUAGCAUUUCCAUUCACACCGCAUGAACGCUUGCUUGCAAGCACCCUGUUGUAAGUCCUGAGCACACAAUCUAGGGAACACGACUUCUGCCAAAAUUGGGCGUAGGGACAUUCCCGAACCAGUAUAAUUCUUUGUGUCUUGUGUGCUAGCCAUCGGGAGUAAGGAGAGCGCGGAGUACAAUUAGUCGGUGGUACAAAACACCUACACUUUUACAUGAAGCGAGGAUGAAAGUGUAAGCAGGGUACUAUGUGUACGCGUGCCCAUCCUUCGGAAGGGCUGGACGGUGCGGCUUUGGAGGAGGACGUGUUACAAGUGGUAUCAUAGCCGACCCUCACGGUUGCAUGUACGGAUUAGUGUGCGAGCAUAUAGCGUGUGUGGACUCUAGAUGGAACACACCGCAUGGUAUAUGGCUCCGGCGUUGGACGUACGGUCGUGCGCUAAGAGAGAAUGUUCCUGAACAUUUGCCCAAGCGUGGGUGAGUUGGACCGACGAGGACGUCGGGUUCUUUGGGGAGUGUACGUGACACCCGACCCAAUUUAUUUGGCCCAGUAGUAGCCCAUGAGCGCAGGUGCGCAUGUUUAGUACCACCUUGCUAGUUGAGUAAGGGUGAAGACAACUUAUAAAUCUUUGUCCCCAGUCGUAGCACAUUCGAGUUAAUCAUCUUACAUAAAACGAGGAUGAAAGUGUAAGCAACAUGCUAUGCGUACGUGUGCUGUUUGAAGGGCUCGGCGGUGCGCAGUCAUCAGCAAUUCAGCACGCACCAAAUUCUCAUUGAAAACCCCUUGGGUGUCCGUCCUGUUGUUGCCACUGGCCGGCCAGUACAGUAGUGGACACGAUGUCACUGACCCUGAAGAAGUUCCGUUCGAGUCUCAUGUCCCAACCAACUGCCCAACCAUCUCCACCAGAAAAUUACCUUUUUUUUUGCGAUUGAGAAUUACUUAACUUGUACGCUGCUGACAGAAGCAAAGCACAGCAACAAUCUUUUAAUUUUCCUUAUCUUCAUCGAUCGCCAAGCUAAGGCAACAAGCAUUGUAUGCGACAGGGGAACCAACGCAAGGUCCAAUUAGCUAGACUGGCUGGACGUGUGUCUGAAUUAAAUCACGUCUGUUAAUGUGACAGGGACUCUGCAACUGAGCGCGUUGCGUUGGGAUGUGCUUGGUAGCUGCAUUAGGCGGCAUGUCUUUCUUGGGUAUAUCUGACUGCCUGCCUGCCCAACGCAUUACCUGCUGCAAGCUACAUCCAUCUAGCUAGCUGUGUACCAACAUCAGUUAGCUUUUCAUUUUCUUUUAACCCUUUUCAAUUCCUCUAGUUGCUGAUGAUAUCGCUGAACUGCUCAGCAUGCUUUGUUUCGAAUUCGCAAAAAUUCACUUUUAAAACUCAAGUAUGUAUGAGUUGUAGGAUGUAAUCAGCAACCAGUCAGGGUCAGCUACCUGCUGACUAUACAAGCUGUAUAUCUGGCUAGGCUAGCUGCAGAUUCAACAAGAAGAUUGAUCCCACAACAAAUGAAUUGCAAGAAAUGACAAGACAAAACAUGAAUUUUCAGUACAUUUUAAUUAGCAGGAAAAAAAAAAGGAAUCAACAGACACACCUUCAUCAGAGACGUGAAGAAUUGCAAUUUCUAGCAUCUACAUCGUCAUGCAAACAGAGAGUUAAGCCAACAUGACGAUGCUCAUGACUACCUCUCGCAUAAUCAGUAGAUUGACUGAUACAAAGAAAACACGAUGCAUAGCUAGGCAACUGCAUCAAAUCAAUGGAAUGGCUGAUCUCAUCUCUCUAUAUACCAAGUUGUUCUUCCAAGCCAUGGCGCCGAAGGAAACCUUGGGUGAUCUCCGGCGCAAGAGAACAGAUCGAGUAGUAAAUAUUAAGAAGACGACGACGCAAACCAACCGUGUGGCUGCAGGUUAAAAGGACCUGCUGGUAGGCUGACGACCGACCCAUCGAUCAGCAGGCGUAGAGCUGUGCGAGCUCCCUCAUGGCGGCGCCGUCGCCGCCGCGGAGGUCGUCGGCGGCGUUGUCCAGCAUCCACAGCAGGUGGUCGAACAGCACCACCUCGCAGCUGACGACGACGGUCUCGUCGUCGUCGUCGUCCUUAUUCCGCCGCCCCUCGUCGAUGAGCGCGGCGAUCAGCGGGUGGCUCAGGUGCUCCGCGCUGAUCACGUACCGCCGCCGCGAGCUGCCCACGAACACCACCGCGCCGCCGCCGGCAGAGGCCGCCGGCUCCUCCUCGCCGCCGGCGGCGUCCCUUGUGGACAUGGAGCGGAGGUUGCUGUAGGGCGCCGAGCUCGGCCGCAGCGCCCCCACCCGCGACAGGCUCUUGCACCUGCGCAGCACCACGCUCCUGAACCUGUUCAUCUCUGAACACGACACACACAGCUCUGAUCACCAGCCUAACGCCGACACAUACACAACAGCUUGUUGGUUAUAUACGUGGGGGUGGUGGCACGUCGUCGUUGUGGGCAAGUGAGGACGACGUCACUACCGGAACGUUGAAGUUUGCCGUGUCCACGGUACAUGGCGAAGCUUAAAAAACACUCGGCAAAGUUUUUGCCAAGUGUUACAAAAGCAACGUGACAGCAUAAAGAUGGUCACGGCGUGUUUGUUGAGUGUCUAAACGGAUGGGCACUCGGCAAACAUGCCUUUUUUGCCGUGUACCGGCCCGGACACUGGGCAAACAUGGCUUUGUUGCUGAGUAUGGCAGCCCAGAUACUCGGCAAAGACCGGUCAUUUUAGGCUCAGAAUGUACGGAUUUUGGCCUCUUUGCUGCCGAGUGUCACAGCCCAAACACUCGGCAAAGAUGGCCAUUUUAGGCCCAAAAUGUAUAUAUUUUUGCCACGUUUUUUUUUACCGAGUGUAUUUUGCAUGGCACUUGGCAAAUAGCCCUUUUGCUUGGCAAAGCUGCCACAUAUAACCAGUUUAUUUGGUUUGGUCACAGCCACGUACCACAUUCAAAUAAACAUCACAUCCAUCACAGAGAGUUCACAAUAGGUAUCACAGGCAGUUCAUAUAGAUAUAUCGACAACACCACAGGAAGUAGCCUCUCAUCGCCGGCAGCAGGUGACGCGUCGAGUAGUUUAUCCUACAUGUUUGCAUGAAUACAAUGGCGUCAUUUCCAAAUCAUUACAUAACACUUCAAUGAAUUCUUUCUUCUCCAAUCUAAUGAAUUUUCUUAUGCUAAUAUGGAGAUGUUGGAAUGUUAGGAACGGUGUCCUGCAAGCUGGGGAGCAAAUCUCAAUUCCUGGGUCAGUGGUGUUCCUGACACGAUAUAUUGAUGCUUUGUCCCAAGCCUAAUAGAAACACCCUGUUGAGGAUGAGCGAGGAAAGUAGAAGGUUGCGAAGAUAAGUGAGAUUCGUCCCACGUCAGGAAAGAUGAAUGCUCCCAAAAAAUGGUCUCCCCCACCAAAAUUAAUGUCGAUGGCGCUUUCAUUAAGGAGAUGGGGCAGUGGCAGUUGGAGUUAUUAUUAGAGACCACCUGGGCAGGGCAUUGCUUACAGCUUGGUGCUGGGCGUGACAUUGUAGGGAUGCAGAGGAGGCAGAAACACUUGCUUGCUUGGAAGGAAUAAGACUAGCGGCAAAGUGACCGGGGCAUGAUAUGGUAUUGGAAGCGGACUGCUCAAGGGUGAUUGAAAUGCUCAAGUUGGGUGGAGUGAAUAGGUUCUUGGUGGCGCCUGUCAUCAUGGAUGCUCUGCAUGAAAGCCAGCAGCUGCAAAGCUUGUACUUUGUCAAGGUUAGAAGAGAGCAAAACAAGGUUGCACACGAGUUAGCCCAUCUAGCCUUGCGUGCGAACCAGUAUUGUGUUUCCUUUUCUCAUGUUCCUGAGUGUGUUUAUAUGCUUGUUCAUUCGUAAUGAUACUCGUUAAGUAAUAAAGCUCUCCUCAUUCGUGAAAAAAAAAAGAUGGCCACUUUGGCCAAAGUGCGAGACCAAGAGAGCAAAGAUUCGGAGGAAGGACUGAUCAAGCAUAAGCAUAUCAUCAAGCAUCACGUCAUCAUCUUCUUUUCUAUAUGUUCGGUCCAAGUUUUUCCAAUAACGUGAUGAUCAGCUAAAUGCAUGUAGAUCAACACCUAGUUACAUUCGAUUUGUACAUCGAUUUGUACAAGUGGAAUGCAUAUUGCUCAUUUUUCGGCUUUUCGCUUCUCAUAAUCUCGUAAAGCUUUAUUUUUUCUCUUGGUUGUACUUGUGGAUAUACUCCCUCCAUCCUAAAAAUAAGUUAUUUUAACUUUGUACUAAGAUAAAAAAAAUUGAAGUUUGACCAAUUUUUAUAGAAAAAUAUUAAUAUUUUUCAUGACAAUAAAUAGAUAUAUUAUGAAAAUGAAUUUCACAAUGAAUCUAGUAAUGCAUAUUUGAUAUCAUAAAUAUUAAUAUUUUUAUAUAAACUUGGUUAAAUUUAAAAGAAAUAACUAUAGAUAAAAUUAGAAUGGUUUAUUUUUUCAAGAUGGAGGGAGUAAGCAUAACCGUGUGCUGAAGUUAUUAGUAACCCUAACCAAGCAAGGGACCAUAAUGACACCUAGAAAACACCGGUCAGAGACAUGUUUUCAUGAGGUCUCCUAUAUAACUUCCAAAAGUCAUAUAAGCAGUCUAAAUUUAAAAGUCAAUUAAAGUCCAAUUAACAUCCGCGUGCAGAAGAUUAUUUUUCUGUUCGAUUUCACCGUUCUCACGCGCGCCGGCUUUUCCGUGUUUCCAAGCUCUUUUCACGACACACAUUUUCAAAUUCUAUUCAACAUUCUGUUUUAAAUGGUGAAAUGCAUUUUUAUAUGCAUUCAACAUUUGCGGAUAUAUGAUUCAACAUCUCAUCCAAGCUACUUGGACAUUUUAGAAAAACUAGUUCAACAUUUUUAUAUAAAAUGUUGAAAUAGUGAAUUUAAAUUGUUGAAAUUGUUUGUUCAAAAAAUUUUGGUGUCCUGUAGGAGGCGGAGGUGGCGCAGGGCUGGCAGGCGAAGUACUGGGCCAACCGGGAAGGGAAGAGAGCCUGGCUGAGGCCCAUGAACGCGUCCACCAGGCCCCGAUCGCCUCUCCGCGUCCGCCAGGCCCAUGAACGACGCGUCGGGACUCCAGAGCCUUCCGGUUCCUUCGUCUCAUUGCAUAAUCACAUCUCCAUCUCCAUCUCGCAUCCCUCGGCUCUACCUCACCAUCGCCUGAAAUAGGAAACCCCACGUGACGGCGACGCGAUCCCCUCCGCUGCCUAUUCACCGUCGCUAAGGAGAGUCUCCAACUCCAAUCCAUCCGUCUCCGCCGAAUCGCCGAGUCCCCAUCUGCAGGAAAGCCCGAAACCCUAACCUCGACGAGCGGAGGCAGAAGAAGAAAAUGUGGAUCUCGAAAUCAACUUGUUCUAGGGAACGUGGCGAGAUUGCAAAGGAUGAAGAUGAAGAUGGACAGUCUGAUAAAAACCUUGUUCUGCAGUUGAAGAUGAACAGCAUUCUGGCAAGAUUGAUGUCCAUGCCAUUCAAGAGCACAAAUAAGAACAAGGGAGUGCAAGUGGACAAGCGCAGGCCCUCCUCGACAUGGAUGAUGAAACCAUCCGAAAAAUGAUUUGCUGUUUCAUCAAACGCCUGAACUGUCAAUCUCCUGAGCGUUGUGAUUACGGUCCUGAAUACGAGAAAGACCAGCUCAUGGAGUUGUACGAGCAGCUAGCCUUGUACCGCAUCAAAGCUUAUGAGGUAUCUUUAAAAGUCACAUGAAUAGAAGACUUAGCAAUUUACUCUUUGUGGGUAUCUAAACGUUGUUGUCUGGUACUGUGUACUCUAGUUUGCUGCAUCUGCUUUGCAUCCGUUUUUAAUACUUUAUGAUUGUCUUCUGCAGUUAACAGUGGAUAGGAAGCUGGCUGAACUUGAUGAUGUGAAUCUGAAACUGCAGUACCCUCCAUCCAAACUUUAUGAUAACAAUUUUUUCAAGUAUUAUGAGGAAAGCCUUGAAUGGUACUUCGAUCUUGAGCGCUGCUGGAACGCUCAGUUUGAUAACUACCAGCGGCUAGUGCUUCACGGUUUUGUAAGCAUGAACACUUGACUCCUCCAUGCCAAUUAGCUUAAUUAUCAUUCUUGUUAUCACUAAGUAUACGUUGCUAUACCCAUCCGUGUUAAAUGUUACUUUGAUUGGUUUUGAAGCCUUUUGUAUUCCUUAAUAGCUUAAUUCAAGAAAAUGUUGGAAGAGUAAACUUAGCUAAUUAUCUGUUACAACCUUCUAUAAUAUGCUGCAAACAUUUAGUUUUGUUGAAGCUAAUACUAUGUUUUUUAUUUUGAAUUUGUUGUUCUGGGCAUCAACAAGGUCUGCAACAUGUGUGAUUAACAUUUUUGUUUUGUUGUAAUUAAUGUUCUCAAGCGUAUUAAAAAUACUAAUGACAGUCUGACUAUAACUUACUGGACCAGUGAAACAGCAGUAAGUUUAGUGUUGAGUUUGUUGGGAGGAUCCAUCUGCCACUUGCCAACAAUCAUAAUCAACUUGGCAGCCUUUGCUUUUAUCGAAGGAAGAAAAAAAAUUAUUGUAUUUUUGCAACUAUCCAUUGGGGGAUGGCCAUGAUACAUACAACUUUUAGUUAAGAAAGCCAAUAGGAUAUAAGUUCCUUGCAUUUCACUUCACACCACUUCGACUGUGGAUGAUUAAUCGAUAGCAGAAAGGUGUACUUGAAAUUCUUAUCUUACAUAGGCACACUGCUCUUUUUUUAUUACAUCUCGUGAUCUGGUGAGGGAGCUGAGUUUAGCUGUCUUGGUUUUAUGGCUAUGACUGUUAUCUUUUUAUAAUUAUGGGCAAUGCACUGUCCUUUGGUACUUAAGACACACACAAUAGGAUUUUCACAUGAUUGCAUGGUUUUGUCAUAGUAUCAACAAAUUCUAGCUUGCUGGUUCAAAUCAUAUUAGACUUCUUUCGGAAAUCCACAUUUUCAAGUUUGCAUUCUGAGACAGUCAGCUAGCGCUUAUAUUUCCGCACUUGAAAUAUUCUUGUACAUAGUAGAUGUUACUUUGCUUUUAAUAGACAACAUAUUCUUUGUGCAGCGUGGAUAUCUAGAUUGGGAUUUCUACCGCAGCAUUAAUAAUACGUACGAACAAGACCUAGCAUAUGUACAGUACUUUGAAGAGGUAGCGAAGCAGACCAAGGUAUCAUUGAUUCGAUUGAAGUGUAAACUACUGAUCACAUUAUCUUUGGUCUAAUAGUCUUCUUUUCAUAUGACAGUGGGUUGAAGAUUAUCUGGGAGACAGCACAAUUCAGGUAAGCAUUCCCAAAGAAAGCCUUUAGUGCUUAAUAAACUGUUGUGCAAUGUAAAUUGAUGUUGUAGUGACACAUGGUGCAUGGGAACUUUUUUGUUGUUCAGUGGGAAAGAAUUAGAGGUGUGGCUUACAUGCAAGCACUGGAUAUUGCAGCAAGCUUUCCCGAUGUUUCCCCAUUUUUAGUUUCCUACGGUUUCCCAGUAAUGACACCUUGCUUACUUGCUAAUUUUGUUGUUGAGAAGUGUUGAUAUAUUGGAAUUUGACAUUCUAUCCUUUAAUGCAGGAGUAUAUCUGUAGCAUUUUGUCUGAUUAUUCUCGCAAGGGAUUAGAUGGUCUCUAUUUUGAGAUUUGGAAGCGGGUUGCUAAAGGAAAAGUUAGUACCUCAGUAUGCACAACUAAGCAACCCACAUUGCUCUCCAUUUCUGUUGGUGUCUUGCUUUGCAUUCUUAUACAUAUGCAUGCUUGCUAAGGGACAUAUUUGUUUACCUCAAUUUCUUUCAGAUGAGUUUCGAAGAAGCUUUGUUGGAAAUACAUAGCAAAGACAUGUUUCCCUUGCGCAGUUCUGAUAUUAAACAUGAGCUUGAAAACACUCCAUGCAGAUUCCGAAUAAAAGAUUAUGCAAGUUCCUUCUCUUAUUACCAUUUCCCUAAUUCUUUUGUGUAUAUUUUUUUUCAAUUAGUUCAUCUAGAUACUUAUGUUGUCUGUUCCUUUUUCCAGUAUGAUGCCCAUGUGGCUGGCAUUGACAAAAUGAUAAGCUGGUCUGCAUGGGAUCCUUGCCCUACUGCUACUGGAAAUAAAUUCUUUACACUGAUGGAACUUCUGUCUUUUCAGGCUGCAGAUGAUAAAGUUCGUCAGUUGAUAAGAGAGACAAUAGUAAGUUGACUGAUUUCCAUGGCAAGCAAUUGUACUGUAGCUAUAGAAUUUUUACUAGUUGAUUAUGGCUUUUAAUGCUGUCUGGAAAUUGGCUUUAUUUUGCUAAAGCUGAGGCUGAAUUUUAUCUUCAGGCUUCAACUUUAAACCCAAAGUUCUAUUUGGAUUAUGCCAGGAAAAAGUUGGAUAUUGCAAGAGAGAUUGAUUUGAUUCCCAAAGGUACGUAGACUUUCAACAGGCACGCACCUUUUAGGUUUAAUAAUAAAUAUGUAGUUUCUCAAUUACUAUUGUGAUUUACUAGGAAGGGGAGGUUCUGAAUCACUAUCAUAAGAGGAGGGGUCCCUCCACAGGGCUAUGGAGACAAUGGUGAAACAAAGGCGGUAAUGUGGCUGUUAGAAAGAAAUUGUGACUUUAUUUAGUCUUAUGGGUUUUGAGAUUGUUUUUAUGUAGUAUAAUAGUUUAUAUUGUGCUGAGAUGUCUACUAUCCAGCAUAUCCUUGGCAGCCGAUAUAAUAUAACCUACACUGAGAUUGAUGCAUCAGCCAAGGCGUAGUACUUCAAUCCUCAGUUUUAGAAAGUGUUUUCAGAUCAACCAUUUGUGACUCGAUAACAGUUAAACAUGUGUUUAUGAGCUUAUCAAAUUUGAUUUUAACCUUUGGGUCUUGAGUUGGACUAUAAAUUGUUGUAACAUGUACUCCCUCCUUCCACAACAAAUGUAAGGACUGUUUUAAGCCUGUUAUACUCCUUCCACAAUAAAUAUAAUCACAGCCGGUGAACAUGCUUGAAUGCUUGAUUAGCAGCCAUGUGAUGAUUUGUUUCCUAAUACCUAUAAUAUUUUUUUAUUUAUAGAUAAAAUUUAAGCCUCGGAAUCUCUUAUAUUUACAGACGGUGUGAAUAGCGUUGUUUAUCUACAGUGGCUGUGGUUUGAACUUUACUGUUACUUUCUUUUACAAAAUGCCAAUAGCUACGAAGUAGUACAGUAAUAAUUUAACAGAUUUCCUAUCUCUACCAACGCCAUGUUAGAGUCACGCAAUUUGUACUGUACAAGGCUAUACUUGGGAAUAAAAGGUACUGUACAAGGCUGUACAAGGCAAUUUGUACGAAGUAGUUUUUUAUUUGUAGGGAGAAGAACCGAGAUCGCUUGGCAAUGCAAGGGAGACGAUGACGAAACAAAACUUAAAAUGGACAGCUAAAGAAGGUUAUCGGUGCUAGUGAUCAUAUUUGUAAUAUCAUCCGAUGAGAUGUGCUACUAUUUAUCCAGUGUAUCUGGACUGCCGGUGUAAAUUGACUAGUAAGGCUAUGGGGACAUUGUAGUCGCUGAUCCAAUUUUAUUAUCAGUGCUCCCUGAACGUCUCAGACUAGAAAACCUUCGUCAAUGGACACACGAAUCGUUGGGUUAGAGUUUCUUUUUUUAACGAUCCAAGCAGGAAACGUACUGAUUACAUUGAUAAAGAAGAAAGCGCAGAUUGAGCAAACAACAAUCCCGUUGGGUCAGAAUUAGGAUCCGAAACUUGAGCCUCGAGCGGGAAUGUUAUAUAUCGCGCGCGUCGAUGAACUAUCUGUAGCUUCCAUUCUUCCUCCUAGACACUUUUUAGUGGCCCAAGGGCGGCACGAGCAUGAGUGACUUUUAUGCAAGUCCAAAAGGAAUUUUAGUCGGUGUGAGAUUAGGUUGCAAGCUGCUUCAAUUGCAGGGGGGUUGGACCGAGUUAAGCCACGACUGGUCGCCCAUUGGACGAGUGUGUGACCCGUUUGACUUACCUUUCCUAGCGCUGCACCAAUUCAGGCACAACCUUAAAAAAAAUAUUGAUAUGCAUGGAAGCGCAGCGCACGUGCAUGCAGCCAGGCGGGAAGGUCCCUUUCUAAUGACAUCGCGCUGAUGUUAGCAAAAAAUAUUAGUUGUAUUCUUUAAUAAGCAUUACUCUCUCAUCAAGGAUCCAUUUUCAAAUGUGUUUUCACCAUCGUGUUUCUUGUGGUGAGAUCUACAAAACAAGACUAAUGUUGAAUAUAUUUUGAAGUUGUUUUAUGUGACUGUCAACUUAUAAUGUAUGUAUACUAUCAACAUAUAUAUCAAAUGUGUAGCAACUUAUAUAUUAAACUUACAUGAAGACUAAUUGACAACUUAUACAGAGACAAGUUAACAAAUUAUGCAAAGAUCAUGUAUCAACUUAUUUAUAGACUAUGUAACAACUUAUAUUACAUGUCUAAUGUCGUUGAUCAAAUUUAUACCGAGACAAAUGUAAUCACUUAGGUAAAAGCUGUGUACACCACUUCCGCGCAUCUAAAAUAACAACUCAGGUAAAGACAAUGUGGCAACUUAUGCAGAUACUUCAGGUAAUGGCAUUAGGUUCAAAAUUAUUUGCAUAGCAACUUACAUGAAGGUUUGAAUAUAAGUUGCUACAUAUGAUUAGUUAACUAACCAACGUAUGCAAUACAUGGUUAACGGUGGCAACAAGCUGAAGCCCAAACAGCCCAACAAAAUAUCUAUUGUACAAAAAAGCUAACCAGGCAGGCUAAUCUACUGUCUUACUCGUGGCCCAACUCGCUAGCAGAAUAGCCCGCAGCCCUGCAGGUGGUCAAUAAACGAUCCAGCGCUAGCUGCGAAGGCCAAUAAACGCCAGCCCAUAUAAAUGCGUGCUGUGCAGGCCAAUAAAAUACUGAACAGGACAUGGGCCGCAUGGGGUCGCGUCUACAGCUUGAGUGCGAUACCGCGCGCGAUAGACUCUUCCUUUUGGUUUGGUUGGGGAGAUCGGGGAACUCCAUCUAGAUGGGCUGAAAACACCGGCCGCCCACGGCCCACCUCUGUUCACUCGAACAAGUCACAGGUGACGGGCAUUGACCAAAUCCAAUCUGCCGCUUUCCUCUAUUUUAUUGAAAUGUGUAUUUUUUUACUAAAAAAUUAGCCUAAAUCAUCACCAAAUAAAAAAUUAGCCUAAAUCAUCACCAAUUAAAGUUCAUCGUAGACGUAAAUGGAACUGAGUUAAGCUGUAAUAAAUUGAACCUAGUUUGAUGAACAAUCUAUUUAUAAUGGUCAUUCGACUUUUAUUACUUAGUGGAUUCAGAUAUACCAAAAGAGCCGGAACUGAUAAAACAGAUGGCAUUAGGAAUAAAAUAUCGAAAAUUAGAAUUUAUAAAAGGGAUAGUUGAUAAUAGAAGAUAAUGGUCUUUGAAAAAACGUCAUUGACAUCCUAAUAAAAGUCGUGUUGCAAAGUGAGCCAUCAAUUUAUGAGCCUUAACCUCGUAUGUCUACAAGAAAAUAAUCGAGUCAUGGCACCGGUCUGCAGGUGCAGCAUGACAAAAAGAUAAUAUAUGAUCUGAUUUUGUCAAUCCAAGUGACAGACGGGGUCUUGAAUAGAAUUGGGUUUUUUUUCCAUGGACACUAUGAAAGUGUGAUUUUGUCGACCCCUCACUAUAAAUCGGGCAGCGUGAGCAGCUCUGGUGGCCGCGGCCGCCAGCUGCCCAGCAGCGCCUGCUGCAUGAGGGAGCUCGCGGGCUAUGGCGGCGCCUGCUGCUGGAGGACGGGGAUGGGAGGCAGCCGAUGCUGCCAGACUGCCGAAGGGCUCGUCGAGCAGAGGCCAACGGGUAGGUGCGGUUGCUGUUGGAGAGGGCAGCCGCAUGCUAGCUUCUGAGCGAGGCCACGGGCAGGUGCACGUCGAGCAGAGGCCAACGGCGCACAGACGUAGCUUGGCUUUUUUUUUUCCAGCGGAGCUUCACUUCUUUUGCUCUUUUUUUUUUCCAGCGGAGCUUCACUUCUUUUGUACAACGAGCAGAGGAUGAGAUGGGAAAAGACAGCGGGGGUCGAUGGGUGGGACCCACACCAAGGUAACUUUGGUCAUUUUAUCAGGCGCUCUCUCUUCCUAGGCCAGAGAAAUGUUUUUUUUUUAAUGACAAACGGUGUGCUGUGCACAAAUACAAGAUUUCAGGGUGUCCAAGAGCCUAAAUCGACGAGUGAGGUGCUCCACGCAAAACAAUACUUUCACAGUGUCCUGUGGAAAAAAAUACAAGAAUUCAGGAUGUCCAAGAGCCUAAAUCGACGAGUGAGGUGCUCCACGCAAAACAACACUUUCACAGCGUCCGGUGAAAAAAAAACCCAAUAGAAUAUUAUUCGAUAGCAAAUCUAACCAAGAGCCUACAAAAUUGUGAAAAAUAGAUCACAGUUAAUCUGGAAAAUGAAAAAGAGCACCGACAGAAUACAUUUGAAGGGAGGAAAAUAAGAUCCAUAUUUGUUCAAAGCAAAAAACUAAUUUCACAAAAAUGAGCUAAAAGUGAAUUGACAUGCAUAUAAGACAUUAUAAGGAGCUAGAUCAAAUAUAAUAUUGUAACUCAGUAUAAAACUUGCAAUUCUUUUACAUGGUAAGGAUAUCAUUUGGAGUACAACUUGCUUGAUUCUCAAACUCAAUUUCUUUACAUUGUCGCAAAUCUUACAACAAUUAUAUCGAAAUGCAGAUUUCUGCGCAGGAAAACGGAACUGGCAGCACACCCCAUGGCAUGCUCCAAUGAACGAAUGAAUCUCAGCAACACAUAGAAUCCAAGAAUUUACAGGAGAGAACAAAUACCUCCCUCUCUAUGACAACCAAUCUGCCAGAUUGUUGGCAAAGAAACUUUUAAAAACCCAUUAACAAUGUACAGGAUGGAGUGCUGCCAUAUUAGAUGGCUGUUCAAGGGCAAACUUGAUAGAGCUCUUCCUCUGAAUAACCACUUGAUUCUGCAGAUUGCCAUCCAUCUGUGUGUGCAAGGUUAAGUCUUGAUUUUCUCAGGCCCAGCUUACAGGUGACAGGUGCCAAAAAAACAUGCACCUGCUACCUAUGCCGUGCUUGGGAAUCCUCAGAAGACAUGCUGGAGUGAGGUGAGGGCUCGAGGCUCUCCGGCAACUCCAAUUGUGUGGGUAAUAGGUUCAAGAAACUGCCUUCAGAAGUCUGGUCUUCACUAUCAGCAGUCUC